UACGUAGGAUCCAAGCGUUUGUCCGGAUUUACUGGGUGUAAAGGGUGCGCAGGCGGACUUGUUAGUCAGAGGUGAAAUCUCACUGCUCAACAGUGAAACUGCCUUUGAUACUGCAGGUCUUGAAUCCAGAAGAGAGUUGUGGAAAUUCCGAGUGUAGCAGUUGAAAAUGUGUAGAUAUUCGGAAAGAACACCAGCGGCGAAGGCAGCAACUUGGUCUGGUAAUUGACGCUCAGGCACGGAA
rnacentral:rRNA from 1 species